CAGGUUAUUGCUAGGCAUAUUAUUAUUUACAUUAAUAAUUAAAUUUGUGCGAUUCAAAUUAAUCUGA
rnacentral:tRNA from 1 species